UGCGGCAUUUUAGAGAAGCGUCGUGGCUUCUUACGUUCUAAUAAUGUAAGAAUUCUACAGCGGUUCCACCACCACCAUAUUCCUCCAUAAAUAAAGUAACGAAUUCCAAUUAUUGAAGCGUGUAACAAAUAGAUAUACAAUCUCUUCCAUUGCAGUAGCCGCGUGAUUACACGGCGUGUUCAGCGCCCUGGAGUGGUAAGAGUCGGGAAUAAGACUUAACUUGGAACACUCCAGUAACCUGCGAAAUGCAGAUGACAUUGACUUGCUCAAGAGACACGGGCUGCUAUCGCGUCCCCUGUUGUAAAAGAAAUUAAGACCGUGGACCAAAGGUUCAUGUGUAUUCAUUUACGAGGGAGGUUGACCGGAAGGAUAAGUGGCUGCGAGCAAUUCGAAUGAAGGAUUUCACUCCAGGCGUCCAUUUGAAGGUAUGCGAGCUUCCCUUCCGGACAAGUGACUUCGUCAACACGUUGACACACUGCGACGAGAGCACAGGAAGAAGACUCGAAGUUAUAAGUGACAGAGUUCGCCUGAGGGAAUAUGCUGUGCCCACAGUUUUCCCCAACUCUCCGAAACUGCGACGCGCUCAGUAGGGAAUGCAGCGAUGAACACAAGGUUGAAAAAUUUUUGCAAAGUGAAAAAUGAUGCAGUGCAGUAUGACGCCAAGAAAAAGAAAAAGCUGCCAUGCGCAAAGCAAAUACAUUAAAAAAGAAGUGAAGUGUGCGUGGCGUAGCGACAUUUUUAUUAAAGAGAAUUA